rnacentral:rRNA from 1 species
AUAUCAAUAAGCGGAGGAAAAGAAACUAACAAGGAUUCCCCUAGUAACGGCGAGUGAAGCGGGAUGAGCUCAAAUUUGUAAUCUGGCGUGCUUGCGCGUCCGAGUUGUGAUCUAUAGAGGCGUUUUCCGUGCUGGUCCGUGUCCAAGUCCCUUGGAACAGGGUAUCAAAGAGGGUGACAAUCCCGUGCUUGACACGACCGCCAGUGCUCUGUGAUACGUCUUCUACGAGUCGAGUUGUUUGGGAAUGCAGCUCAAAAUGGGUGGUAAAUUCCAUCUAAAGCUAAAUAUUGGCGAGAGACCGAUAGCGCACAAGUA